CGCACAUUGCGCCCGCUAGUAUUCUGGCGGGCAUGCCUGUUCGAGCGUCAUUUCAACCCUCAAGCCCUAGCGCUUGGUGUUGGGAACCUGCCGGCUUAGGCUGGCAGGCCCCUAAAGACAUCGGCGGGCUCGCUGAGACUCCGAGCGCAGUAAUUUUAUCUCGCUCUGGACGGCUCUGGCGGGUUCUCUAGCCGCUAAACACCCCAAUGUUUACAAGGUUGACCUCGGAUCAGGUAGGAAUACCCGCUGAACUUAA
rnacentral:misc_RNA from 1 species